AUUGAACGCUGGCGGCAGGCCUAACACACGCGAGUCGAGCGGAUGAAGGGAGCUUGCUCCUGGAUUCAGCGGCGGACGGGUGAGUAAUGCCUAGGAAUCUGCCUGGUAGUGGGGGAUAACGUCCGGAAACGGGCGCUAAUAUCGCAUACGUCCUGAGGGAGAAAGUGGGGGAUCUUCGGACCUCACGCUAUCAGAUGAGCCUAGGUCGGAUUAGCUAGUUGGUGGGGUAAAGGCCUACCAAGGCGACGAUCCGUAACUGGUCUGAGAGGAUGAUCAGUCACACUGGAACUGAGACACGGUCCAGACUCCUACGGGAGGCAGCAGUGGGGAAUAUUGGACAAUGGGCGAAAGCCUGAUCCAGCCAUGCCGCGUGUGUGAAGAAGGUCUUCGGAUUGUAAAGCACUUUAAGUUGGGAGGAAGGGCAGUAAGUUAAUACCUUGCUGUUUUGACGUUACCAACAGAAUAAGCACCGGCUAACUUCGUG
rnacentral:rRNA from 1 species